GACCAUGGAGAUUUGGUAACCUCACUCUCUCUUUCCCCUCUUUUUUUUUUAAAAAAAAACUUGAAUCUUAUGCUGUUCUUUCAAAAAAACGAAACAAACUUUGAAGAUUUAAACAAAAUUUUAACACCGUUUGACCCUCGCCCACAUCUAUGCAUUUCUGAGACGUUUGGGCUUUCAUCGGCGUCGAUUCGGGUCCCCUUCAUGUGUUCAUGCUAAAAUUGCAAAACAUAUCAAAAGAAACGAAAAAAAAGGAUUUAGAAAUCACCUUUCAAUAACUUUUGGCUUGAUUUUUUUAAUAUCCAGUGUGCGUAACCCCUUACAAAAAUCAAAUCUCUUGGCUUUAUAGCCGAAAAUAAAAAUAAAAAAAUACAACUUUUUCUAUUUUUUGUAUUUGUUAUUGUGUUUGUCUCUUCUUGCAGGUACGUGUUAUGCGUGGCGCGUGUACGGGGGUUGUGUGCUGGCAUAUGGAGGUGUGGCUGUGGCUGUGGCGCUAGGAGGUCGUACGGCGCUAUGGGUUGGGUGCUGUGGCGCUCCUUGCUGCUAGGGUUUUCCUUUCUGAAACCAGAAUUUGGGUCGUUUGGGUCAUUGGGCCAUUUCUAUAUUUGGGCCUUUGGAUUCAUUGGGUUAGAAUUAUUAGGCUAUUCGGGUUAGGUUCAGUUUAGGCCUGAAAAUCUGUAAAUGGACCUUUAAUUUGGACUGUUAUAAUUUGGUUUGGUUUAUUAUUGUUUUGUAUUUUGGAUUUGAUGUGGACCCGGGAAAAUUGACCUGUUUACAGCUGCCCCUCUUUGCUCAUUGUCGUGUAACGAGAAUAGAGUAAAGACUUUAAAGAGGGCCAAUUUUGCUCAGUCUCGCCGAAUCAUGACUUCUUUGGUGUUCUUCUUCUUCGAGGUAGCCUUGUUCCAAUCCUCUGCAACUUCAGGGGUAUAGGAAUUUUUGCCCCAAUCUACUCCACUAUAACUCUAGAGAGACUAGCCUUAUAGCUCUUAAUCUGCUCUACUGCAACUGUUCCACUACAACUUCAGGGAGAUAAGAUCUGCUAUCUUUAGUCUGCUCCACUGUAACUUCAGGGAGAUAAGACUUGUUACUUCAACCCGCUUUAUUGCAACUUCAAAGAGAUAAGGAUCGUGGCUUCAAUUUGCUCCACUGCAAAUUCGGGGAGAUAAGAUCUGCUAUCUUCAAUCUGCUCCACUGUAACUUCAGGGAGAUAAGACUUGUUACUUCAACCCGCUCUGCUGCAACUUCAGAGAGAUAAGGAUCGUGGCUUCGAUAUGCUCCACUGAAACUUCAAGGAGAUAAGAUCUGCUAUCUUCAAUCUGCUCUACUGCAACUUUAGGGAAAUAAGACUUGUUACUUUAACCCGUUCUACUGCAACUUUAGAGAGAUAAGGAUCAUGGUUUCAAUCUGAUCCACUGCAACUUCAGGGAGAUAAGAUCUGCCAUCUUCAGUCUGCUUCACUGCAACUUCAGAGAAAUAAGGUUUGCUAUGAUGACUUAAUCCAACCUAUUGCAAUUUCAGUGGUAUGGGAUUUGUGGUUUUACCGGUCUGUUACGUCGUUCUCUGGGGAACAUGACAUGUAGAAUCGAUUUUAUGGGACUAUGUUUAUGCCAAAUGAUUAGAAUACUUUGAUCAAAAUGAAUCGAAUGCUCCUAACUAGGUGUAUAUGAUAUUUUCAUGAAUGCAAAAUGUCGUGGGAAUGAUCCUUUUUUAAUAUUUGGGUUGUCAUUGCUCAUUGUUCAUCAAGGUUCUGUUUCUGCUGUGCUAUCAUGUCUCCUUUGCUCGACUGGUAUCUUUGGCAGAAAAUCCUUAUUUGUUCAACUAGUUUUCUCUACUGCAUCUUUAGGGACAUAGAACUUGUAGUUUCUCCUAUCCACCUCACUGCAACUCAAGGGUGUAGGAUUCGAAUUUUCCCCCAUCAAUUUGGUCUGUUACACCAUUCCUCGGGUGUCAUGGCCAGACGUGUAUGCCUGAUAAUUUCAUGAAUGUAAAAUAUCAUUUUUCUUUUCUCGAGAGUGACCUCCUUUUAUACUGAUCAUUCCUCAUCGAGAUUGUAUCAUUGACGCAAUAUCUCGUCUUUUAUUCAAUCACUGUUUGGGACAAAGAUCCAAAGAGAUGGUCUCAACUUAAACCCUUCCUACUCAGAUAUUUCCUUAAGCUUGGUGAGUUCUAAAUAACAGUUCCGUUUCAGAUUCUCGUAUUAUUUAGAAGCUUUCCUAAGUAAUAUGCGAAACUCCUUUUGUGAAAGUAUUAUUAAUUCGUUAAUCAUUAUUUCUAUGCAACAUGCUUGCAACAAAUCAUAGCAAUGGAUAAGAAUGGAAUUUAAUUAGGGUAUAACUAAUAAAUAAAUUAUCGAAGAUAAAAAUGAAAGUCUAUUGGGGAUGCAUAUCUUGAAAAGAAAAAUAUUUCAAGGGUAGCUAAUUUAUUAUGAAUAAGGUGAAGACUAGAUGCCCCUGAUAUCGCAGCCUGAAUUUCUCUGUACGAACUUCCUGAAGACCAAUUUAAACUUGACAUUUGUUUAAGAGAUCAGAAGCACUUUGUCAAUGCCCCAAGAUGCGGCAUACCCUCUCCCUUGUCAAUUCAGGUAUAGCAAGAUCAUCACUUCCCCCAUCUUUGAUCAAUAUCUGAGCCGCCUUUUUUUAGGUUUUCAACUCAAAUCCCUUUUGGCCUCAAGGCGCCCUUUGCGGGUUUUCACCUUGGUCUCUCCCUUUUUUUUAAGGAAGGUCUCAGAACGCCCUUUGCAGGUUUUCACUUUGGCCUUUUUCCCUCUUUAAGUGUACUAUUUCUUGACAGAAUUCGAAUUCACAAGAUUGGGCAGGUUUUUUCCAUCCGUUUCUGCUAGGAUUAAUGCUCCUCCGGAGAAAGCUUUCUUCACCACAUAAGGCCCCUCCUAAUUGGGCAUCCAUUGUCCUCUAAAAUCAUUUUGUAUAGGAAUGAUCUUUUUCAGAACUAGAUCUCCCUCAAGAAACUCUCUCGGGUGAACCUUUUUAUCAUAAGCCUGCAUCAUUCUUUUUUGAUACAUCUGACCAUGCUAAAUAGCUCUUAGCCUCUUCUUCUCAACCAAAUUCAAUUGAUCAUAUCGAGACUGUAUCCAUUCUGCUUCAUCUAAAUUCAACUCUGACAAAACUCUGAGAGAAGGUAUCUCUACCUCAAUGAGUAGAACUGCUUCCAUUCCAUAGACCAAUGAGAAAGGCGUUUCCCCAAUAGAAGUUCUGACAGAUGUUCGAUAAGCGUAAAGAGUGAAUGGCAACUUCUCAUGCCAAUCUCUGUAAGUUUCAGUCAUUUUUCCCACAAUUUUCUUAAUACUUUUAUUUGCUGCUUCCACUGCCUAGAUCAUUUUUGGGCAAUAUGAUGAUGAAUUAUGGUGUCUAAUUUUAAACUGACUGCAAACCUCUGCUAUUAUGCUAUUGUUCAAAUUCAAUGCAUUGUCAGAUAUGAUCCUUUCAGGCAUCUCAUAUCAACAUAUGAUCUCUUUUUUCAGGAAUUUGCUCACAGCCGAUUUUGUAACAUUGGCGUAUAAGGCCACCUCUACCCACUUAGUGAAAUAGUCAAUGACCACAAAGAUGAACCGAUGCCCAUUUGAAGCCUUUGGUGAGUUGGCCCUAUGACAUCCAUGCCCUACAUGGAAAACGACCAUGGGGAAGUCAUAACAUACAAAGGCGAAUGAGGUACAUUAAUUUUAACAUCAUAGAUUUGACAUUUGUGACACUUCUUGGCAUAAUUAAUGCAGUCUCCUUCCAUGGUAGACCAAUAAUAUCCAAAUCUCAUAAUUUGUCUAGCCAUUGUGAAGCUAUUGGCAUGUGUUCCACAAAUGCCUUCGUGAACUUCUUCCAAAAUUUUCUUGGCUUCCACAACAUCUACACAUCUCAAUAAUACUUGAUCCUUUCUUCUUUUAUACAGUAUUUCCCCAUCUAAGACAUAAUCACAGGUUAGCCUUCUCAAUGUCCUUUUAUCAUUCUCAGUUGCCUGAUCAGGGUACUCACGAUUUCUCACGUAUCGCAAUAUAUCUUGAUACCAAGGGUGAUCAUCUCUCUCCUCUUCCUCCAUAUUGUAAAAAUAAGAUGGGGCUUCACAAAUACUCAUCUGAAUGGGUUUUACAUCUUCUUGUUUGCUCACAUUGAUCAUGGAAGCCAAAGUAGCCAAAGUAUCCGCUUUCUGAUUCUCAUCUCGCGGGAGAUAAUUGAAAGUAAUAUCAUCAAACUUCUCAAUUAACCCUAGCACUAUGCCUCGAUAAUUAAUCAAUUUGGAGUCUCUUGUCUCCCAUUCACCUCUAAGCUGGUAGAUCACUAGUGCGAAAUCUCUAUAUACUUCUAACACCCUGAUCUUGCGUUCUAUGGCUGCGCGGAGUCCCAUGAUGCAUGCUUCAUAUUCUGCCAUAUUAUUUGUGCAAUCAAAAUCCAAUUUAUAUGUGAAUGGAUAAUGAUCUCCAUUUGGGGAUACCAAAACUGCCCCGAUUCCAUUACCCACAGCAUUUGAGGCUCCAUCAAAGUUCAAUUUCCAUGGGUGACCUUUUGUAACUUCUUCUUCAAUAGCCGCCACAUACAUUAAUUCUUCAUUGGGGAAAUAAAAAUUCAAGGGCUCAUAAUCUUCUAAAGCUCUACUGGCCAGAAAUUCUGCUAUUGCCCUCCCUUUCACGGUCUUUUGACUCACAUAGACUAUGUCAAAUUCAGAAAGCAGAAUUUUCCACCUAGUCAUUCUUCCGUUCAAGGCGUUUGACUCCAUCAUAUAUUUUAAGGGGUCUAACUUCGAGAUUAACCAGGUCGUAUGGUACAACAUGUAUUGCCUCAAUCUCCGAACUGUCCAGAUCAAAGCACAACACAAUUUCUCGAUUGACGAAUAUCUCAAUUCACAUUCGGUGAAUUUCUUAUUAAGGUAAUAUAUCGCCUUUUCUUUUCUUCCUGACUCAUCAUGCUGACCAAGAACACAUCCCAUAGAGUUAUCAAACACUACUAAAUACAAUAUUAGCUGCCUAUCUGAGCUUGGAGGUGACAGCACUGGAGGACUUGACAAGUACUUUUUAACCUUAUCAAAAGCUUUCUAGAAUUCAUCAUCCCAUUCUCCUGGGUUAUGCUUUUUAAGAAGAUGAAAUAUGUGGUCGCAUUUUUUAGUUAAUUGUGAAAUGAACCAAGCAAUAUAAUUUAGUUUUCCUAAGAAGCCUCGAACUUCUUUUUGAGUACGUGGUGGAGACAAUUCUUGUAUAGCCCGAACUUUGUCUGAGUCAAUCUCAAUUCCCUUUUCACUGACUAUAAAGCCUAGUAGCUUUCCUGAUCUAGCUCCAAAAGUACAUUUCGCUGGAUUAAGCUUUAGCUGAAAUUUUCUCAAUCUCAAGAACAGCCUUCUCAACACUUUGAUAUGCUCCUCUUCAGUUCGAGAUUUGGCAAUCAUAUAGUCUAUAUAAACUUCAAUCUCUUUAUGUAUCAUAUCAUGAAAUAAGGUCACCAUGGCUCUUUGAUAUGUUGCUCCAGCAUUCUUCAGCCCAAACGGCAUCACCUUACAACAGAACGUGCCCCACAAGGUUAUAAAGGCAGUCUUUCCUAUGUCUUCAGGAUGCAUCUUUAUCUGAUUGUAUCCCGAGAAGCCAUCUAUGAAGGAGAACAAUGAGUAGCCCGCUAUGUUAUCCACUAGGGUAUCAAUGUGAGGCAAGGGGAAAUUGUCUUUCGGGCUAACCUUAUUUAAGUUUCUAUAAUCAACACACAUUCGUACUUUCCCAUCUUUUUUAGGAACAGGUACAAUGUUGGCUACCCAUUCCGAGUAUUUGACCACCCGCAGGAAUCCAGCAUCAAAUUAUUUCUUGACUUUCUCCUUUAUUUUAGCACAACGUCUGGCCUCAUCCUUCGAAGUUUCUGCUGAAUUGGCUUGCAAUCUUCUUUUAUAGGAAGGUGAGGUACUACAAUAUCGGUGCUCAACCCGGGCAUAUCUUGGUAGGACCAUGCGAAGACAUUUUUAAAUUCUUGAAGCAACCCAACAAAGUCUCACUUUAUUUUUUCGGUUAUGCACGUUUCGAUUCUUACAACUUUUCCUUAUUCCAAAGUCACCACCUCCACUGCCUCUUUAUGCGGUAGAAUUUGUUUUUCCUCUUGUUCUACUAUCCUUAACAAGUCCCGAGAUAAGUCACAAUCUCUGUCAUCUUCAAAGUCUUGAGAUCCCUCUAAACACAUGUCUUGCUCAAAAAGUGAUUCUGAGUCAGUAGCAGCAUCACUCAUGACAUUGAUAUCCUGGGACCUAUUAUAGGUACAAAAAUAUGCAAAAAAUGAAUGAAUUUAAGAAUUAUUGUUUGAAUGGUAUGAUUAUGAAGGAAUGAUUGAAGAAAGUCUAAAAGGACUAAGAUAAUUACUCCGACGAAAAGAAUAAAAACAAUUACUAGUGGAAAGAAUGAAAGAAUAUUUGCUCAAAAUGAUAGCAAAAAUAUACUUCAUUGGAAUAACGAUGUUUGAACAUGAGCCUAUUUCAAAAAGAAAUCCUCAUUGCCUCUAGGCUUAAAGCAACAAGAUUGUUUCAAACAUUACUCUGAGUAAGCUCUAAAUAUUACAGGAAUGUUUUCAGCAGUUCAGUUGCCUAGAACACUCCCAGGUUCAUACGGACGAAUAUCUGACAAGGUUCCCUUUUCAGUCACUUUUUCUAAUAUGGCAUUGAUGUGAAUAUCUUUCAACAUUUCUUUGAUGUCUUUUUUCUCCGACGUCCUUCGUUCGGGAUGAAUAAUCCCUCCCGAUACAAAAGUCUUCGAUAUGUGAGGGAUUACCAUGGGUUCCCACUUGAUUUCUUCACCACUCAAUCGUGCAUUUCUUCUCUCCUGCCUUUUUUCUAAUUCUUUCUUCCUUUGUCUUGCAUCUAGCCUAAACCUUAAACCAAAAUGGUCACAUUUGUCUUUCAGCAUAGGUACCUCAACUCUUCCCUGAAGACUCCUCCCAAGUCCCUUUCCUGGUAAAGCUCCUCUUCCAACCAUCAACUGUAGACUCAUCCUUGUAGUUUUGGAUAAUUUUGGUGUUGGAAUCUUGCUCCCCUCAGUAAUGAAUGUCACAUUAACAAAUUCCAAGAACUGAAAUGAACAUUCGAUUGCUUCGUCAUCUGUCUCCAAAUAUUGUGCAUCACUGCUUAUAGCUGUAGUGAUAUCCUCUUUAGCAUUUAUCAUUAUCAACCAACCCUCUGAUACUAACUUCAACUUCUGAUGUAAUGAUGAAGGCACUGCCCCUACUGAAUGUAUCCAAGGUCUUCCUAACAGGAAAUUGUAUGAGGGUUUAAUAUCCAUCACUAAAAAGCCCACCUCAUAUGUAGUUGGGCCAAUCAACAAAGGUAUUUCUAUUCUCCCAAUGACACUUUUUUCCAUGCCAUCGAAUGCCUGUACUAUAUUCUGACACCCCUUCAUGUGCAAGCUAUCCACAAGUAAUCUAUUUAAUGUAGACAAGGGCAAUAUAUUCAAUGCUGACCCAUUGUCUAUCAAGACCCCUGAAAAUGUGUAUCCUUUGCAUCUGGUAGUGACGUGCAGAGCUUUAGUGGACCCCAUACCUCCUGGUGGUAUUUAAGAAGAUGAAAUUAUCAGUACUUAUGUUAUUAACCAGCCGAUCUAACUUAUUGAUAGAGAUAUCAUUAGUCACAUACGUCUCAUUUAGGACCUUCAUCAAUGCAUUUCGGUGGACCUCUGAACUUAGUAGCAAAGCUAGUAUAGAUAUGCGAGCGGGUUGUUUAUUCAACUGUUCCACCACGCUAUAUUCACUAUGUUUUAGAAAUUUCAGGAAUUUCUUAGCUUCCUCCUCUUUCACUAGUUCAUUAUCUGGCAACUCAGACUUAACAACUUUUCCUUUCUUUUGUUCCACUAUCGGAGCUAUUCCUCUUACAGGUUCUGUUCGGGCAUUCACCAAAUCAUAGUAUCUUCUACUACAUAUGUGAGAACCUAUAUCUUGAUCCUCCUUAGCUAAACUCUCCUUCUCUGGGAUUGUCACAUUAUAAUCAUAAUUCCAUGGAACCCUUUUGUUUUCCUCGUAAGAGAAAACUGCUGGUUUCUGAAUUAUAACCUUCGGUGCCAUUUAAAUUCUCACUUCAUUUUUCGAGCAUGAGAUGAUGACCACAGGAUAAUUGACCUUUGGGCCCUUCGAUGUUGACUCUAAUGUGCAUAUACACCCUUCUUCUUUAACCUCUUUAUAAAACUCUAUCUCAUUAUUGUCCAUCAAGCCUGAAUCAAAGCUCUGAACUCUUCAUAUUCUUGAAUUUCAUGCCCCUCUUCAUGAUGGAAUUCACAGUAGCUCUCUAUCUCUUUGCCACUCUUUUCUGGAUUUGAAAUAACUAAUCCCCUUUUUUCCAUCUCCUUCCAAACCCAUUUCAAAGGAGUUUUCACUUCUGUAAUGUCUGCUUUGACCUUUCUUCCAAUAUUUUCACUUAUCGCGUUUACAUCGCCAUCGGGGUGAUUAGGUAACGGAUUUUCUGCACUGGGUGCAUUAUCAAACUUCACAACGCCCACUUUAAUAUAUCUUUCAACUACUUUCUUAAAGGCAGUGUACUUUUCUAUCGAAUGGUAAUCACACUAAGCGCCUGCAUCUUACCCUUUGGGGUAAGGGGGUUAUAAUGGCUUUAAGUAAAAAGGGGCCAUCACAUGUGCAUCGAAUAAACUUUGGUACAACUCCUUAUAUGACAUUGGGAUAGGCAUAAAUUAAAGCUUCUCAGUAUUUUUCUUUGUGCCAAACUCUUGUCUUAAAGACCAUUGACUCCCAAUAGUCACUGCUCUCAGCUGAUUAACGGUAAACGAUUUUAAGUACCCUAUAUUCGUAUUAUUCACCUUGUUUUCCUUUUUUUCGCGGGGCUGGCCUUUUGGUAUUCUCUCCUGCCUCCAUCCUUCCACUUCUUAUUGCAUUCUCGAUCAUUUCUCCAGUCAUUACCACAUCUGAGAAGCUUUUUGUGGCGCUUCCCAGCAUGUGUGUAAUGAACGAGGCCUUCAAAGUGUUGAUAAAGAGCAUCGUAGUUUCUUUUUCUAAAAGUGGCAGCUGAACUUGUAUGGCAACUUCUCUCCAUCUUUGCGCAUAUUGUCUGAAACUUUCAUUUGGUUUCUUCUCCAUAUUCUGUAGAGUAAUCCUGUCAGGAGUUAUAUCCGUCACAUGGCUGUACUGCUUCAUGAACGCUUGGGCCAAAUCUUUCCACGAACUAAUCUUGGUACGACUCAGCUGAUUGUACCACUUAGAUGCUGCCCCCACUAAACUGUAUUGGAAGCAAUGAAUCAGUAGUUGAUCAUUGUUAACAUACCCAGUCAUUCUUCUGCAAAACAUGGUAAUAAGAGCUUCAGGGCAGCUCAUCCCAUUGUACUUCUCAAAUUCUGGCAUUUUGAACUUGGGGGGAAAGACUAAGUCUGGGACCAAACUUAGAUCCUUAGCGUCAAUUCCGUGAGGACUAUCAGUACUUUCCAUCACUCUGAAUUUUUCCUCUAGCCAUUUACACUGUUCCUCUAAUUUCUUUUGUGAUUCCAUCCUUGCCUUUUCCUCUUCUGCAACUUCAUCCAAAUUAGGAACAAGUGGAUAAUUCGAGUUAUUAACAGGGUUAGAGCCUGAGCCAGUUUGGAAAUUCCUUGGUAUCGAAGCUCCAGCCUGAAUCUACUGAGGCCUGAUCGUAACAGAUGGUCUUUGCAGAUUAAUCUUAGGUUGUGUCGGUACAUGUGUUGGAGUGAAGCCAGGAGGAUAUUGAGGGUCUUCAUUAUUUUCCCCAACAUUAUCCAUAGGACCCUUUCCCUUAUCCAUUCUUCCCAUCAGUAAUUGAGACAACUGACUUAUCAUCUAUCUUUGGGAUUCUAUCAUUUGAUCUUUUAUCUCUUGCUGAAUCUUGGCUAGCUGCUCUUGCAUUUGUGACUGCAUUUGUUCCUGCAUGUCCUUUUGCAUUUGCUCCAAUUUUUCAAGUCUUUUUUCUAUUGAGUUGGUCUUUUUCCUUGUACUGUAAGGAUGCGUACUUGGUUGGUUUUCAUUAGUUUCCAGAUUACUUAAAUAAUUUUUAAUUAAUUAGAAUCUUUUUAUAAACUUUAAUGCAUAUGAUGUCAUGUAAUGCAAAUGCAUGAAUACAAAUGAGGCAUCAAUUUUGAUUCAAUUCCCUUUAGAAAACUUUACUAGAAAAUAAAAUUCUUUACAUAAAAUUGAGUUACAAAUAAGACUUCACCCUAAUGCUCAGAGUCUUAAUUUUACUAAGUAACGAGGCUAGCUCCUGCCCCCGAUUUGACUCUAACUCGUACUUCACACUCAGUAUGUCCGCUUGUACCGCUAAAGCUUGCAAGUAAUCUGCUACCUCCCGAAUCUGGGUUACGGCUUCUCCCAUAAUGUAAUCCCUGUUUCUGACUUGGUCUUACGCAUGGUGAAGUUGUUCCUUCCAACACUCCUCACUUGCUUCGAAAAACUCAAUCCUCAUCUCACAACUUUGUAAUGACACUUCUAAUUCUUCUAUUUUUCCUUUCAUUUCUUCUACAUUACUCAAGCUUGCUCUCAACUCCAUUGCAGUAUUAUAGCUUCGGUACAGAUGAAGAGAUUUCUCGAGUUUCGCCACUCUAGCCUUUAAUUCAUCUCGUUCAUUUCUGUUUUCUGACAGACUCUUCUCUAAAUCCUCAUUUUAUGCCUGAGCCUCUCGGAAUUUCCUUUCCCAUCGGUCAGCUUUGGUCUUUUCCUCUCGAAUUUCAGCACCUUUGUUCUGAAGUUUUACCUAACCCAGCAGUCCUCAUAGACAGGCGUAACUUCUUAUAAUCUGUCUUCAAACUGUCCAGAUCCUCUUCGGCCUUACUUUUCCCUUUUCUCAACUUCUCAGCCUCUGACCUCUGAACAUCUACGUAUAAUCUCAGAUGCAUCUUUUCUUCCUCCAACUGUUCGAUCUUCUUCCUAAGCUCAAAACUCUUCUUCUCAAAAUCCUGUUUUAUAAUUUUCAACUCUGACGAGGCAACUUAUAGUUGUUCUUCCACAAGUCGAGUAUCUUCUAAACUUAGCCUAGGAAUAUUAUCAUUGACCCUUUUCUUAAACCAUCUAUUGUAUUCAGGUGUCACCAUGGAACCAACAGCCAACCUCUUCAUCCAGCGAGUUUACUUCUAAGCAUCAGGCAGUUCCCGAACCUUCUUCUUAUAGUGGUCACCUUUAUAGGAGAAUUCACACUGAGCAAGCCCGUAAGUUGUGGGUGCAAACUGCCUCGAUUUAUAUUGCCUUAAUGCAAGCAAUAAAGUAUACCCAGUAGCUCCCCAAAUUCCUAACAAUGGUACCCAAUAAAAAUUCUCGCAUCGAUAUAGGAUUUCAUCAGGAACCAUCCAAAAAGCUCACCACUCUAUAUCCUCUUCCUUGAGAUUUUGAAGAAUUUCCAUCCAUUUUUCCUCUGAAAUAUCGUCUCUCCUCUGCAUGGCUGUCUCCUCCUUUAACGGGGAAUAACCUUCAGAAAAGACCCGGUAAGAAACCUUGUUUACUUUCCAAAAAUUCCUAUGAAACCACACCAUCAACAGCUGUGCACAUCUAAUAAACUGCCCCUUGCCUGUCUUCCGACACAUGCUCAAGGAUCUGAACGUAUCAGCCAAUAUUGCAAGUACAGGUGUGAUUCUCAUCUCAAGACGAUCGAAUAGGUCAGUGACUGCCUCAUCCAUGUGCCUUAAAGCCUUGGGAAAAAUCACCAAUCCAUAGAUGCUUAAGGCGAAGAUAGCGACCUUCUUCAUUUCAUUUGGAUGUGUUAAAACCAAAUCUCUCAAAUUCUCCCAAAGAAUACACUUACUAUCCCCCUUUUGUUGAAUUCGAGCAGUGACCCAAGGCUCGCUCAUCCCUGAAAUAGUCAUCAAAUUCUUUGCAAAAGUUGGACCAUUAAAAACCUUAGCAUAAGCUUUUUUAACUUGAACUUUUGGACACCUCAGCAGGGUAGUAUAUUCUUCCACGGUAGGUACCAAAUCCACUUCCCCAAAAGUGAAACAAUUGUAAGCAGAAUUCUAAAACUGAGCCAUGACUCGGAACAGAUGCUUGUCCACCUUAAUAUCGAGCAAGUAGGCUAUAUCACCAUAACUUUGAUAGAACAACUGUUUAGUUCCCUUAUCCUAACGAGCUCAUAUAUCUCUUAACUCUUGCAACUCAUUCUGCGUUACAUUGAUGCUAGUGAAUUUCAGCAACUCUGAUGUAUAUCCUUCUGCCAGGCUAUCCCCUUUCUCUGAUUGUAACUUAUCUGACCAUGCACGGACGGCUGCAUUAUCCUCAACUUUAUCAAGAAAUUCAUUCUCCAUGUUAAAUCUUUUAACUUAGUAAUUGAAUACAAAUCAACACCUCCUUUAGUAUGCAAUUUUAUGCAAAACACAAUCAAAACACAAUAAGUCAGUAUCAAAUGUUAAUGAUAAAAUACAAGCAAAAACCAAAAAUAAUCAGAACAAAGAUAUAGGCAACUACUAAGGCUUAAUCUAGCUCUACCUAAAGAAGGCUCUUAGGGUUCACUAUAUGUGGUUUGGUUCUAAAGAGAAGGUACCUGAACCAGCAGAUUCCUCAAUCCUCACCCAUUAUAGGCUCAUAUGAAUUGAGUUCGGUUCAGGGGGAUACAUUUCCUUAUGACCAUGCGGAGAUGAAAAUCUCACAAAAUCAUAAGUACAGAUGUAUCCCGGAAGCAAUCUACUAGCCUAUGUGGAGGCAAAAACCUAAUGAAAGCAUAGUUUCUUACUGCCACUUAAAGGUAUAACCACAACGGUCAUGCAAUGCAAUGCAAUAUUGUUCUACAAGACCCAAACCAAAACAAUCAUACAAACAAAUGCGAUCAAAACAAUAAUGAUUUUCAAAACAAAUUUUCAAUUCUUUGACAAAAGGACAGCAAAUAAUCAAUUUUAUGGCUUGACUCUCUUGUUCAGUCCCCAGUGGAGUCGCCAAGCUGUCGAAACCAUUUUUUUGAUUUUGAAAACAACGGGGAUCGAAUUUUUAAACCAAAUGUGGAGUCGCCACCAAUCUUUUAUUUUGGUGUGAUUGGAUCACCUUAAUAAAAUAUUUUAUUCCAUUUAAAUCUAUUUUGGUCUACGAAAUUUGAGAAAACGGGUUCGGGAGCUGGUUAUGUACGAGGAAGGAUUAGCACCCUCGCUACGCCCAAAAUUGGUACCGAUUUGAUUAAAUAAUGUCCUUAUGUCUAAAAUAUAUUUUGAAAUACGAUUUCUUUUAAAACACUUGAAUGACUCAAAUUGGGCGUCAAGAUUCGCUUAUUUCAAAGGAAUACAGUAUCACAUCCAGCACGUUAGGACACGAUCCUUUAAACCUUCGAAACUACGAUCAAUUCCGAUUCUAAAAGCCCGUACAUUUGAAAAUUACAAAAGGAUGCUCGCUUAUUUGGUCCAACAAAAGAAACGAAACACAGCACGGUAGGGCACGAUUUCUCGAAUUUACAAACAUUGAACAUUACCUUAUUUUAGAAUUUAGAAAAUGCGGAUGAAAUUUCAAAGGAAUAUUUGAUUAUCUUGGACAAACGAAAAAUCGAAACCCAGCACGGUAGGGCACGAUUCCUCGAGUUCCCAAACAUCAAUCAUUACCUUUAUUUUAGUAAAUUUUCAAAUAAACAAUUGUAGAAUUAGCUCAAAACGCAUUAAUUUGACUUGAAAUAAAAUGGAAUAAUUAGUUUCAAAGAGUUAAAAACCACAAAACAACAUCUUGUAAAUCAAGAGGAAAAGAAGUAAUGAAUAUGGGAUAAUAUGCAUGAAUAACGUAGAAUACUUGAUAAGUGCAGAUAACAUAACCUUAUUUAACCAAUCAAAUCAAAUAAACAAUUAAUUUAAAACAACAAAAUUUACAAGCAUGAGUGAACAACAAUUGAUUUAAUAAUACAUAAAAACAAGUAAACGCGAUGUAGCAAAUAUACAUGAAAUAAUGUGAGGACAAUUAACUCAUGAAAUACCAAACAAUAUAAAACCAAUAUGAUACUAAAAUAAUUUCUAAAAAUGAUGGAUUAAUGGGCAAAUAAUACUUGAAAUAAUUUAUAAAAGAAAAACUAAGAAUAUAAAUAUAUAAUUUUUAACAUUGACGUUGCAAAAACAUUUGAAUCAAAUAAAAUGCCAAAUAUCUAGAAAUAAAACAUUUAUUUGAAAUUAACAAUAUCUAUUCAAUAAAGAUAAUUUUUUUUGUAAAAAAAACAUAAAUUAUGGAAAGAUUGCAUGCGCAUAAAAUAUGAAACUAAAUUAAUGUCCAUGUGCAUUAUAUAUAAAAAAACUAACGUGGAACUAAAAUAUGAAUUAUAAAAUUAAAUUAACUUCAUCAUAAGUUAUAUACGUAAUAGAUUGUAACAACAUAAUUAUAUAUAAAUAGAUUUUUAAAAAAAAAACCAUAUGUUUAAAAUAACAUAGAUCGAAUAAUAUAUAAAUUAAAUAUAUGUACCAAGUAUAUGAAUAAUAAUAGUUUAAAUAAUACAUAAAAUAUGUGGAGUUUCCUUUAGAUAACAAAAAGAAUAUAUAACAAAAUAUAAGAAUAAGUUUAAAAGAAAUUGUAUGUAUAAAAUAAUAUAAGAUUAAUAAUUUACAUGGCACUCUAUCAUGAAUCAUGUAAAUAUAAUAAUGUACAAAAAACAUUAAAAAAAAUAUUACACAAAAUGUUAAAGUGAUAUGAUUAAAAAAUAAUGACUUUGAAACAAAUCACAAUUAUCAAAGUAGCUCAAAAUACAAAAUAAAUAAACAAGAAUUAAAAAUGAAUGUGAAAUGAAUAAAAAAUGAUGAAAAAAACUUAUUUGAAAUAAAAUUAAAAUAAAAGGGAUAAUUUACAAAUUCUUGAACUUAAAUUGAGGACUAAUGCGCAAGGCGCGCGAAUUCACAAGGACCACAGUUGAAAAUAUCCCUGAUCCCUAAACGCUGCGACAUAUUGCGGACCAAAAUGAAAACGCGCGCAAAUUAUAGGACCGAAUUAAAAAACAAAGUAAAGCAGAUAAGGUGCAAUGGAAUGCUCGCGCGAGGGGAAGGAUCUAACGUGCAAAUUCCCCAUUUUGAACAAAAGGGCGAGGAUCCGGCCUGCCCAUCGGGUCGACAUGCCAAUCUUUAUGGCUGAAAUGGCGUUGUUUUUUAUUCUGGUGCUAAAGGACCCUAUUCCCAUUUAUUUUCUUUCCGAAAACAUAGAUGAAAAAAAAAGGAAUCCCUGCUCUGUUAGGGUUUGUUCCAUUACGCAGCCACUAAACCUCCAUCAACUUGAUGACCAAUGGCGCGGAUGAUGGCCAGAUCUUGACAACGGAGGCCAUAACCAUGGAGAUCUGGUAACCUCGCUCCCUCUUUUCCCUUUUUUUUUUAAAAAAAAACUUGAAUUUUAUUCUGUUCUUUCAAAAAAAUGAAACAAACUUUGAAGAUUUAAACAAAAUUUUAACACCGUUCGACCCUCGCCCACAUCCAUGCAUUUCUGAGACGUUUGGGCUUUCAUCAGCGUCAAUUCGGGUCCCCUUCAUGUGUUCAUGCUAAAAUUGCAAAGCCCAUCAAAAGAAACGAAAAAACAGAUUUGGAAAUCACCUUUCAAUAACUUUUGGCUUGAUUUUUUUAAUAUCCAGUGUGCGUAACCCCUUACAAAAAUCAAAUCUCUUGGCUUUAUAGCCGAAAAGAAAAAUAAAAAAUACAUUUUUUUCUAUUUUUUGUAUUUGCUGUUGUGUUUGUCUCUUCUUGCAGGUACGUGGUAUGCGUGGCGCAUGUACGGGGGCUGUAUGCUAGCAUACAAAGGCGUAGGCGUGGCUGUGGCGCCAAGAGACCGUACGGCGUUGUGGGCUGGGGGCUGCGGCGCUCCUUGCUGCUAUGGUUUCCCUUUUUGAAACCAAAAUUUGGGUGGUUUGGGCCAUUGGGCCAUUUCUGUAUUUGGGCCUUUGGGUUCAUUGGGUUAGAAUUAUUAGGCUAUUCGGGUUAGGUUCAAUUUAGGCCCGAAAAUCUGUAAAUGGACCUUUAAUUUGGACUGUUAUAAUUUGGUUUGGUUUAUUAUUGUUUUGUGUCUUGGUUUUGAUGUGGACCCGGGCAAAUUGACCUGUUUACAAUAUCAAUCUAAAAAAGUGUAUAUAUUGACAUUCAUUGAGCAGUUGAAAAUGUUGAAAGUUCAAAAAUAUAUUCUUUAUAUCCAUAUUAAAAAGUUAAAAAGAAAAUGUUGAAGUUAGGAAA
rnacentral:lncRNA from 1 species